rnacentral:rRNA from 1 species
UACAGAGACUGCAAGCGUUAUUCGGAUUCACUGGGCGUAAAGGGUGCGCAGGCGGCCAAGUGUGUCAGGUGUGAAAUCCCGAGGCUUAACCUCGGAACUGCGUCUGAAACUACUCGACUAGAGUACUGGAGAGGGAAACGGAAUUCACGGUGUAGCAGUGAAAUGCGUAGAUAUCGUGAGGAACACCAGAGGCGAAGGCGGUUUCCUGGACAGUUACUGACGCUCAGGCACGAAAGCAUGGGGAGCAAAAGGG